GCGGACGGGUGAGUAAUGUCUGGGAAACUGCCUGAUGGAGGGGGAUAACUACUGGAAACGGUAGCUAAUACCGCAUAAUGUCGCAAGACCAAAGAGGGGGACCUUCGGGCCUCUUGCCAUCGGAUGUGCCCAGAUGGGAUUAGCUUGUUGGUGGGGUAACGGCUCACCAAGGCGACGAUCCCUAGCUGGUCUGAGAGGAUGACCAGCCACACUGGAACUGAGACACGGUCCAGACUCCUACGGGAGGCAGCAUG
rnacentral:rRNA from 1 species